UCGGCUGUGAACUGCCGUACCUGGCUGUUGUAAUGGGGACAGGAAGCAGUCACAACCAGGUGGUAAUAGAGACAUUGCCCGAUCCUGUCACUGGAGACUUUGAUUCUACUGAUGUGGUCAUCACGAAGGAAGUACGUCGGCCAGUGCGACAAGCAACCAUCGAGAAAAUUGUUACAGAGACGGGAGCUGAAGUGGGGAAGGUGCGUCAAGAUCCCGAUGGUUUGCUUGAUGCCACUAGUCUCCACAACGACGAUGAACUCAAAGAUAUUCAGGACCUUGAACAGACUUUUGAUUCCCUUGGUAUUCCUUUAAGUAAUAAUCGUAACAGUGAUGAAGUUAAUCAUAAAAUUCCCAACGAACAUUUACAUGAACGUGAUAUCGCUCCUCUCAAGACGAAAUGGAGUGAUGUUAAAGCUGGUGUUCCGACUUCCCAAAAUUCGUCUGAAAGAAACAAACAUAGGGGUACUGCAGUCUCGGGUGUGACAGAUGGUGGGGGUGUUAUUACGAGUAGAUCUUCUUCUGGGCCCCAAGCACGUCUCGAUAUUCCAACAACAGCAUUAUUAGAUAAAAAUAACGAUAACAACAACAACACAAAAUCAGCGCCUACGAAGUUCACAUGGAACUUGGCAGAACCCACAAAAUCAUCUGACGAGUGGAUUUACCAGAGGAACACAGUUGAUGGAUUUGAUCCUGAUAAGUUUCGGAAGGCCAAUAAGAAGGAUGCACCGCAUGAGAUCAAAUCGUCUAGCUCCUUGAUGGACGAUAUGGUCAUGCUGCAUCCACAUAGUGUUCCAGAAUAUGAUGUCUCAGAACAACAGAUCUUGGACAGCAUUGAAAAAGAAUUUGUGUCCUGACAGGGAACAUAAAAUUCUACUAGUUCAGACAUCACCAAGAAUAUGGAAUCAGGAAAAGCUGUGUACCUCAUACAUCCCCACUGGGAUCAUCAACAACACCCUGAAACUGAUACUGAACAUGUAAUCCCUGGCUUGGAAAAUGGAAGCAGUCCGAUGGAAGGAAUUUGGCUUUUGCUGGGCGACAUGCAACGAGGACUUCGUUGGGAUCUUUUAUGGGUGCCACUUGUUCCAUUGAUGUUGCCAGUGAAAAUUCCUGCAAUGUAGGUACAAUUCGUAUAACAGUUUCAAUAUGAUGAUUAAACAUCGAUGUAAAAACUGAAUUCAUAAUGGACAGAUGCUAAAUAUUAUAUUACAAAUAUGACUGAAAUAUUAACAUCAAGCAUGUAAAUAUGUAGGCUAAUGAAGAUUAUAUUUAGAUGAGUCUACACCAAUUAAAAAAUUAUUUUUAGUCAUGUUAGUUUUAACAUUUCUCUUUGACAUAAUUAUUGAUGCAUUAGUAAUAAUUUGUGUUCAAACAUACGUGUCGACAAAAAAAAUACAAUAAAUAAGUCACAAGCUGCAAUGGUAAAUACAGAUGUCAGUUUUAAUAUAAAGAACAAAACAGAGUGCUUGUAUGUAUGGUAUAUUUUAUUAUGUUUUCUCACUGAAACUGUAUCUCCACAAAUUAACUCUAAGCACAGCUGCCAAUUGAUAUAUACUCAAUAUGGGUUUAUGUCAUCUGUGCAAGAUACUAAAAUGUUUCUGUUUUUUCUGUUACAGUAUAUGAGUAAGUAAAUAAAUAUAUUACUUUGUUUCCUAUUUAA